GAAAGAAUAUCGGAGACGGAUGGGCAUGCGGCGCAUUAGCUGGUUGGCGGGGUAACGGCCCACCAAGGCGACGAUGCGUAGGGGUUCUGAGAGGAAGGUCCCCCACACUGGUACUGAGACACGGACCAGACUCCUACGGGAGGCAGCAGUGAGGAAUAUUGGUCAAUGGGCGAGAGCCUGAACCAGCCAAGUCGCGUGAGGGAGUACUGCCCUAUGGGUUGUAAGCCUCUUUUGUCGGGGAGCAAAAGCCGGACGUGUCCGGCUGUGAGAGUAUCCGAAGAAAAAGCAUCGGCUAACUCCGUGCCAGCAGCCGCGGUAAUACGGAGGAUGCGAGCGUUAUCCGGAUUUAUUGGGUUUAAAGGGUGCGCAGGCGGAUUUUUAAGUCAGCGGUCAAAUCGUGGGGCUCAACCCCAUCCAGCCGUUGAAACUGGGGAUCUAGAGUGUGCGAGAGGUAUGCGGAAUGCGUGGUGUAGCGGUGAAAUGCAUAGAUAUCACGCAGAACCCCGAUUGCGAAGGCAGCAUACCGGUGCACAACUGACGCUCAGGCACGAAAGCGUGGGUAUCGAACAGGAUUAGAUACCCUGGUAGUCCACGCAGUAAACGAUGAAUGCUACCUGUUUGGCCAGAUUGAUGGCUGA
rnacentral:rRNA from 1 species